AUUGAACGCUGGCGGCAUGCUUUACACAUGCAAGUCGAACGGUAACAGGGAGCUUGCUCCGCUGACGAGUGGCGAACGGGUGAGUAAUGCGUCGGAACGUGCCGAGUAGUGGGGGAUAACGCAGCGAAAGUUGUGCUAAUACCGCAUACGUACUGAGGUAGAAAGUGGGGGACCUUCGGGCCUCACGCUAUUCGAGCGGCCGACGUCUGAUUAGCUAGUAGGUGAGGUAAAGGCUCACCUAGGCGACGAUCAGUAGCGGGUCUGAGAGGAUGAUCCGCCAAGCUGGGACGGGGGCACGGCCCAGACUCCUACGGGAGGCAGCAGUGGGGAAUUUUGGACAAUGGGCGAAAGCCUGAUCCAGCCAUGCCGCGUGUCUGAAGAAGGCCUUCGGGUUGUAAAGGACUUUUGUCGGGGAGGAAAUCCCCAGCGCUAAUACCGCUGGGGGAUGACAGUACCUGAAGAAUAAGCACCGGCUAACUACGUGCCAGCAGCCGCCGUAA
rnacentral:rRNA from 1 species